rnacentral:lncRNA from 1 species
CUUAUAUUAUUAGAGGGCAGAAGGAAUCCCCAACUACCACUGUGAAUGGGAAAUAGUUCAGUUCAGUAUACAGUAAAGUAGUUAGAAACUAUGACCACAUCUGUACUUUGCCACUCUAACCUCUACAAUUAAUCGCGAUCCACUCUCAUUAGAGGGAAAGCUAGUACCAUUCACAGGGAUUGGUUUACAAUUUCAAUCAUAUUUAGUUACCCCUCGAUGAUAACGAUCAAAUGGAUUUCAGUGUUUAUUUGACGUUCUUAACAAUCAUAGUCUCAAUCAGAGUUCAACAAAAUUUCACUUUGACCCAUUGGAUCCAUCAAACUGGUCCUUAAACCUAUCAAUUUCCCAACUUCAUAAAUUACCUCAUUUAGAUCAUUGUGACUUAAUUACCAAACCUGGACCAAACGAGGCCCAUUAAACAAACCUAGACCUAUUGAGGUUCAGUAACUGACCCUGCCCACUAAGGGCCCACUUAUAAU